AGUGAACGGGAAAAGCCCAGCGCCGAAUCCCUCGGUUUGUAGCCGUAGGGAAAUGUGGCGUAUAGGUGCGGUUAUCCGGCACGGUCGCAUACUCAAAGUCCCUUUGACUGGGGCCAUGGAUCAAAGAAGGUGCAARUCCUGUACGAGUGGUGACUCGAGUCGGUCGAUCGUUCCUUGGAGUCGGGUUGCCUGAGAACGCAGCCUUAAGCGGGUGGUAAACYUCAUCUAAGGCUAAAUACGGCCACGAGACCGAUAGCCAACAAGUACCGUGAGGGAAAGUUGCAAAGAACUUUGAAGAGAGAGUUCAAGAGUGCGUGAAACCACUGGAGUGGAAACGAAUAGAGUUGACGUAACUGGGUCACAUUCAACCGAACCCUUGUGGCGCGGUGCACUUGUGAUCCGUAUGCGUUGAGCGCGUUGGCAGCCUGUAUCRAGCGUGAGCGCGUUGCCCACAUCUGUGGUGUCUUGUGCUCGCGGAAGAUAUGUGGUGGCUAAGUAGCGGCUCGACGUGCAAGUCAAUCACCUAUUCGACCCGUCUUGAAACACGGACCAAGGAGUCUAACGUAUACGCGAGUCAUUGGGUGGAAAACCUAAAGGCGCAAUGAAAGUAARGACCGGCUUUCGAUCGGUUGAUAUGGGAUGCGUUCGGCUAACGUUCGCCGCACCAUAGCCCCGUCUUGAUGGCUUGCCAUAGGGCGGAGGUAGAGCGUAUGCGUUAGGACCCGAAAGAUGGUGAACUAUACGUGAGCAGGGCGAAGCCGGUGGAAACACCGGUGGAGGUCCGUAACGAUUCUGACGUGCAAAUCGAUCGUCUGACUGGCGUAUAGGGGCGAAAGACUAAUCGAACCAUCUAGUAGCUGGUUCCCUCUGAAGUUUCCCUCAGGAUAGCAGGAACUCGUAACAGUUAUAUUCGGUAAAGCGAAUGAUUAGAGGAAUUGGGGGCGAAAUGCUCUCAACCUAUUCUCAAACUUUCAAUGGGUAUGAAGUCUCGGUUUYUUCGGUGAACCGAGACGCUGAAUGAGAGCUCCUAGUGGGCCAUUUUUGGUAAGCAGAACUGGCGCUGUGGGAUGAACCAAACGUCGGGUUAAAGUGCCUAAGUAUCCACUCAUGAGACCCCAUGAAAGGCGUUAGUUGAUAUAGACAGCAGGACGGUGGCCAUGGAAGUCGGUACCCGCUAAGGAGUGUGUAACAACUCACCUGCCGAAUCAACUAGCCCUGAAAAUGGAUGGCGCUUGAGCGGAUCACUUAUACCCGACCGUUGCUGACUUGUGCGCAUGCCCGCCUGGUCGCAACGAGUAAGAGGGUCGCGGCGGUUAGCGUUGAAGGCUUUGGACGUGGGUCCAGCUGGAGCUUCCGUCGGUGCANAUCUUGGKGGKRGUAGCAAAUAUUCAAGCGAGAACCUUGAAGACUGARGUGGGGAAGGGUUCCMCGUGAACAGCAGUUGAAUGUGGGUCAGUCGAUCCUAAGGUACUGACGAAAGUCUUGUAUCACUGAGAGUGAGAAGUCCGCUUCUCUCUCGGCAAUCGAAAGGGAAACGGGUUAAUAUUCCCGUACCCGGAUGCGGAGAUUUGCAGUCUUUACGAUUGCAUCGGGCGGUAACGCAAACGAACCCGGUGACGCCUAACUAGGCCCGAGCCAGAGUUCUCUUCUCUGGUUAAGGAACGGACUCGCUGGAAACGGUUCAGCCGAAGAUAGCGACGUUGUUUCCGUAAAGCGCCACGGUUUCUGUGGCGUCUCGUGCGCCUGGUUGGGUCCUUGAAAARCCGGGGGAACCAAUUUGAAUCUCGCACCGGAUCGUACCCAUAUCCGCAGCAGGUYUCCAAGGUGAACAGCCUCUAGUCGAUAGAAUAAUGUAGGUAAGGGAAGUCGGCAAAUUAGAUCCGUAACUUCGGGAAAAGGAUUGGCUCUAAGGACUGGCCUGGUCGGGCCCUGGCAUGAAGUGGGUACGGCUUGAUCUUGGCUGGGUGACGCUUCGGUGGAACUUGGCCUUGUGUCGAGACUGUCCUAUGGACUGCCGCGGCUGCGCGUACGGCUCUCGGGUCGUGCGCUUCGGUCGGCGUGAAACAGUUGACUUAGAACUGGUACGGACUCGGGGAAUCCGACUGUCUAAUUAAAACAGAGGAGACAGAUGGUCUUUGCGGACGUUAACUGUCUCUGAUUUCUGCCCAGUGCUCUGAAUGUUAACGUGAAGAAAUUCACGUAAGCGCGGGUAAACGGCGGGAGUAACUAUGACUCUCUUAAGGUAGCCAAAUGCCUCGUCGGCUAACUACCGACGCGCAUGAAUGGAUUAACGAGAUUCCCACUGUCCCUAUCUACUAUCUAGCGAAACCACAGUCAAGGGAACGGGCUUGACAAAAACAGCGGGGAAAGAAGACCCUGUUGAGCUUGACUCUAGUCUGACUCUGUGAAGAGUCUUGAGAGGUGUAGUAUAAGUGGGAGCUUCGGCAACGGUGAAAUACCACUACUUUCACUGAUUCCUUACUUACUCGGUGAAACGGGAGCUUGAGUUUACUCUUCCUUCUAGUAUUAAACGUGGUCACUUGGUGGCUGCGCGACUCGCGCCGAAGACAGCUUCAGGCGGGGAGUUUGGCUGGGGCGGUACAUCUGUCAAAUCGUAACGCAGGUGUCCUAAGGCUGGCUCAGAGAGGACAGAAACCUCUCGUAGAGUAAAAGGGCAAAAGCCAACUUGAUCUUGAUUUUCAGUACGAAUACAGACCGCGAAAGCGUGGCCUAUCGAUCCUUUUGAAUAAGAAAGUUUCUUGCAAGAGGUGUCAGAAAAGUUACCACAGGGAUAACUGGCUUGUGGCAGCCAAGCGUCCAUAGCGACGUUGCUUUUUGAUCCUUCGAUGUCGGCUCUUCCUAUCAUUGCGAAGCAGAAUUCGCCAAGCGUUGGAUUGUUCACCCACCAAUAGGGAACGUGAGCUGGGUUUAGACCGUCGUGAGACAGGUUAGUUUUACCCUACUGUUAACUAGUUGUUGCGAUAGUAAUCCUGCUUAGUACGAGAGGAACCGCAGGUUCAGACAUUUGGUUCAUGCACUUGACCGAUCGGUCAAUGGUGCGAAGCUACCAUCUGCGGGAUUAUAACUGAACGCCUCUAAGUUAGAAUCCCACCUAGUCAAGGCAAUGAUAACUUUGCUCUCUCGGUGUCGGGAGGCACUUUUAUGUAGUGGUAACGCUACAGCUUAUGCCCUAUCAGAUGGCCUCGCUGCUCAGGUGAAUCCUGAGUAGUUGCCAAAGCCGGAUCACUUCGGUUUCUCGAGGGCGCAAAAUCACUUGCAUACGACUUGAUCGCUGGUCAAGGUGUUGUACUCGGUUGAGCAGUAUA
rnacentral:rRNA from 1 species